ensembl:snoRNA SNORD24 Small nucleolar RNA SNORD24
UGCCACAGUGAUGACACUUAUUUGCUACUCUUGACCAAGAGAGUGAUGAGCACUUGUACCACCAUAACAGUUUUCUGAGGCA